CCCUUAGAUGUUCUGGGCCGCACGCGCGCUACACUGAUGCAUUCAACGAGUCUAAAACCUGCUCUGAUAGGGGUGGGUAAUCUUUUGAAUGUGCAUCGUGAUUGGGAUAGAUUCUUGUAAUUUUUGAUCUUAAACGAGGAAUUCCUAGUAAACGCAAGUCAUCAGCUUGCAUUGAUUACGUCCCUACCCUUUGUACACACCGCCCGUCGCACCUACCGAUUGAAUGGUCCGGUGAAAUCUCCGGACUGGCGUGAGUCGGAGCAAUCUGACAAACACCGGAAAGUUGAUUAAACCUUACCAUUUAGAGGAAGGUGAAGUCGUAACA
rnacentral:rRNA from 1 species